rnacentral:tRNA from 1 species
GCCCGGUUAGCUCAAUCGGUAGAGCGUGAGACUCUUAACACAAGACUCAGGUUCUGUUAUCUCAAGGUUGCGGGUUCGACCCCCGCAUCGGGCU